GCCAGCGUACUCUCCGGAGUGACGGGUACACUGUGGGGACCGCCGCUGCUAAAGCGGAGGAAGGAAUGGGCAACGGUAGGUCAGUAUGCCCCGAAUAUCCCGGGCUACACGCGAGCUACAAUGGUUGGUACAAUGGGUAUCUACCCCGAAAGGGGACGGGAAUCUCCUAAAACCAAUCUUAGUUCGGAUUGAGGGCUGCAACUCGCCCUCAUGAAGCUGGAAUCCGUAGUAAUCGCGUUUCAACAGAACGCGGUGAAUACGUCCCUGCUCCUU
rnacentral:rRNA from 1 species